AGAGUUUAGUCAUGGCUCAGGAUGAACGCUAGCGGCAGGCUUAACACAUGCAAGUCGAGGGGUAACAGGAUAGCUUGCUAUUGCUGACGACCGGCGCACGGGUGCGUAACGCGUAUGCAACCUACCUUUAACAAAGGGAUAGCCCAGAGAAAUUUGGAUUAAUACCUUAUAAUAUUUUCAAUUCGAUUGAAUUGAUUCUUAAAGAUUUAUCGGUUAAAGAUGGGCAUGCGUGACAUUAGCUAGAUGGUAAGGUAACGGCUUACCAUGGCGACGAUGUCUAGGGGUUCUGAGAGGAAGAUCCCCCACACUGGUACUGAGACACGGACCAGACUCCUACGGGAGGCAGCAGUGAGGAAUAUUGGUCAAUGGACGCAAGUCUGAACCAGCCAUGCCGCGUGAAGGAUGACUGCCCUAUGGGUUGUAAACUUCUUUUAUAGAGGAAGAAACCUCUCUACGUGUAGAGAGCUGACGGUACUCUACGAAUAAGGACCGGCUAACUCCGUGCCAGCAGCCGCGGUAAUACGGAGG
rnacentral:rRNA from 1 species